rnacentral:rRNA from 1 species
AUGACUUGUUGUGUCAUCCUGCACAAUAUGAUUCUUGAAGAUGAGAGAGGAAUGAACUUAGAAUUCUUUUACGACAAUGUGGGUAGCCGUGUCAAACCAGUUAGAGACCCAAACCGCAUUAGAGCUUUUCUUCAGACAUAUAAGGAGAUUGAAAAUGCAGACAAACACUUUCAACUUCAGGAAGAUCUCAUCGAGCACCAUUGCUGA